GCUCAACCGGGGAGGGUCAUUGGAAACUGGGGAACUUGAGUGCAGAAGAGGAGAGUGGAAUUCCACGUGUAGCGGUGAAAUGCGUAGAGAUGUGGAGGAACACCAGUGGCGAAGGCGACUCUCAGGUCUGUAACUGACGCUGAGGCGCGAAAGCGUGGGGAGCGAACAGGAUUAGAUACCCUGGUAGUCCACGCCGUAAACGAUGAGUGCUAAGUGUUAGAGGGUUUCCGCCCUUUAGUGCUGCAGCAAACGCAUUAAGCACUCCGCCUGGGGAGUACGGUCGCAAGACUGAAACUCAAAGGAAUUGACGGGGGCCCGCACAAGCGGUGGAGCAUGUGGUUUAAUUCGAAGCAACGCGAAGAACCUUACCAGGUCUUGACAUCCUCUGACAACCCUAGAGAUAGGGCUUCCCCUUCGGGGGCAGAGUGACAGGUGGUGCAUGGUUGUCGUCAGCUCGUGUCGUGAGAUGUUGGGUUAAGUCCCGCAACGAGCGCAACCCUUGAUCUUAGUUGCCAGCAUUCAGUUGGGCACUCUAAGGUGACUGCCGGUGACAAACCGGAGGAAGGUGGGGAUGACGUCAAAUCAUCAUGCCCCUUAUGACCUGGGCUACACACGUGCUACAAUGGGCAGAACAAAG
rnacentral:rRNA from 1 species